CUUGAGAAAAUACAAACGAGUCGAGCUCGAGCCUUGAAAUCAAAGCUCAAAUCGACCCGAGCUCUCAUAAGUUAAUCGAGUUCGAGCUCGAGCCUGGUCAAGCUCGGGCUCGGCCCGGCUCGUUUGCACCCCUAUUUACAACCGAGCGUCAAAUCGAACGAGCAUUUUCCGAGCAACUUCCGAACGAGUGUCAAGCGAGCGACGAGCGAGUAGCGAUUUAACCGGCCCUAGUCGUAACACAUAUACCACUCCACCACUACAUGUUAAUUCAUCAAAACUCAUCUUAUAAUCAUUUUAACUUAUCAUUCCAUUUUAACUCUUUUACAUUGCCGCCCAAAAACACUUGCCAGCGAACAUCUUGGCUAUGUUUCCAUAUAUUGAUUGAUUCCCAGAACGCGUUUCAUUCUUGUACCAUCACGAAUCUGGACACAAUCUCCAGCCAAAACCGGUAUAAUCUUCAAUCAUUACCAUAAAUCCCUUACGGAAACUUUGCAAGGUUUCAUAACAAUAUUAGAUGCACUUAUUCUUUUCGACACCCUCACACAAAUACAACCUCUCCCUACCUCUCCCACUCUCUCUCAUCACCUGCAACCCGUCGCCGGAGGAUUCGGAACUCGCCGGGGCCAUCCGAAGUUACGGCGAAGAUCGCUUCACUCGUUCUCGUCGGAGAUGAAGUUUUCCUCAAAAGCAUUCUAAACUCUACCGAGACUGUAGCAAGAAGAAGGGUCUAGAGCUUGGACCCAAAUGAUCUAGUUGGUGGUACAGAGAUUGAACCAGAAUGGUGUGAGGUAAACGUUCAAGUACCAAUAAAAAAGAUGAAAACUUGGUAAGACCAUAUGGUUUAUUUUCUACAAUUCAAGAUGUACUGGUGCAUCCAUCGCAUGGCCCUAUCCAUUCAUCUCGGUAGUCCAUGAGGAUUGAGGACGCAUGAUGAUUCAAGAUUUUAUGCUUCUUAUUUCUUUAAUUGCUUUAAUUUCUUUGUUAAAUGUUAAGACUUUAUGUCAGAUAAUGUUAUAACUUAUUUAUGGUUAGUGUUUUUGUUAUGAACAUGCUUAUUUGAAAUAUAAUGAAGUUUUAUUUCUUUCA